rnacentral:rRNA from 1 species
CAGUGCCACGGUAAUACGUAGGGUGCAAGCGUUAAUCGGAAUUACUGGGCGUAAAGCGUGCGCAGGCGGUUCGUUAAGACAGAUGUGAAAUCCCCGGGCUUAACCUGGGAACUGCAUUUGUGACUGGCGAGCUAGAGUAUGGCAGAGGGGGGUAGAAUUCCACGUGUAGCAGUGAAAUGCGUAGGGAUGUGGAGGAAUACCGAUGGCGAAGGCAGCCCCCUGGGCCAAUACUGACGCUCAUGCACGAAAGCGUGGGGAGCAAACAGGAUUAGAUACCCCGGUAGUCCCUGUCUCUUAUACA